ACUUCAUAAUAUUUCGAAUUCGCAUGUUUUCGAAAUUUAAGCUUUGGCGGUUAGAGAUGGGCAUGCGUGACAUUAGUUAGUUGGUGAGGUAACGGCUCACCAAGACUGCGAUGUCUAGGGGGUCUGAGAGGAUGGUCCCCCACACUGGUACUGAGACACGGACCAGACUCCUACGGGAGGCAGCAGUGAGGAAUAUUGGGCAAUGGACGCAAGUCUGACCCAGCCAUGCCGCGUGCAGGAUGACUGCCCUAUGGGUUGUAAACUGCUUUUAUUUGGGAAGAAACCCCUGCUCGUGAGCGGGGCUGACGGUACCAAAAGAAUAAGCAUCGGCUAACUCCGUGCCAGCAGCCGCGGUAAUACGGAGGAUGCAAGCGUUAUCCGGAUUUAUUGGGUUUAAAGGGUGCGCAGGCGGGAAAUUAAGUCAGUGGUGAAAUCCUGCAGCUUAACUGUAGAAUUGCCAUUGAAACUGAUUUUCUUGAGUACAGUUGAGGUGGGCGGAAUGUGUAAUGUAGCGGUGAAAUGCUUAGAUAUUACACAGAACACCGAUUGCGUAGGCAGCUCACUAAACUGUUACUGACGCUCAGGCACGAAAGCGUGGGGAGCGAACAGGAUUAGAUACCCUGGUAGUCCACGCCGUAAACUAUGAUCACUCGUUGUUGGCAAUAAACAGUCAGCGACUAAGCUAAAGCAAUAAGUGAUCCACCUGGGGAGUACGGUCGCAAGAUUGAAACUCAAAGGAAUUGACGGGGGCCCGCACAAGCGGAGGAACAUGUGGUUUAAUUCGAUGAUACGCGAGGAACCUUACCUGGGCUUAAAUGCAGAACGAUUUCCGCCGAAAGGUGGUUUCCUUCGGGCGUUUUGCAAGGUGCUGCAUGGUUGUCGUCAGCUCGUGCCGUGAGGUGUCGGGUUAAGUCCCAUAACGAGCGCAACCCCCAUCGUUAGUUGCCAUCGGGUAAUGCCGGGGACUCUAACGAAACUGCCGGUGUAAACCGUGAGGAAGGUGGGGAUGACGUCAAAUCAGCACGGCCCUUAUGUCCAGGGCUACACACGUGUUACAAUGGCCAGUACAAAGGGCAGCUACCUGGUGACAGGAUGUUAAUCUCUAAAACUGGUCUCAGUUCGGAUCGAAGUCUGCAACUCGACUUCGUGAAGGUGGAUUCGCUAGUAAUCGCGCAUCAGCAAUGGCGUGGUGAAUACGUUCCCGGGCCUUGUACACACCGCCCGUCGUGACGAGAACCGAGACGAAAAUAAGAAGUCGAUAGUGAAAGACCGCAUGACC
rnacentral:rRNA from 1 species